GACGAACGCUGGCGGCGUGCUUAACACAUGCAAGUCGAACGGAAAGGCCCUGCUUUUGUGGGGUGCUCGAGUGGCGAACGGGUGAGUAACACGUGAGUAACCUGCCCUUGACUUUGGGAUAACUUCAGGAAACUGGGGCUAAUACCGGAUAGGAGCUCCUGCUGCAUGGUGGGGGUUGGAAAGUUUCGGCGGUUGGGGAUGGACUCGCGGCUUAUCAGCUUGUUGGUGGGGUAGUGGCUUACCAAGGCUUUGACGGGUAGCCGGCCUGAGAGGGUGACCGGCCACAUUGGGACUGAGAUACGGCCCAGACUCCUACGGGAGGCAGCAGUGGGGAAUAUUGCACAAUGGGCGGAAGCCUGAUGCAGCAACGCCGCGUGCGGGAUGACGGCUUUCGGGUUGUAAACCGCUUUCGCCUGUGACGAAGCGUGAGUGACGGUAAUGGGUAAAGAAGCACCGGCGAACUACGU
rnacentral:rRNA from 1 species